rnacentral:rRNA from 1 species
GGAAUAUUGGGCAAUGCCCGGAAGGGUGACCCAGCAACGCCGCGUGGAGGAUGAAGGCCGUAAGGUUGUAAACUCCUGUUAGAGGGGAAGAAAAAUCCCGAUCGACUCGGGACCUGACUGUACCCUCAGAGGAAGCCCCGGCUACCUACGUGCCAGCAGCCGCGGUAAUACGUAGGGGGCAAGCGUUGUCCGGAUUCACUGGGUGUAAAGGGCGCGCAGGCGGGUUGGCAAGUCAGAGGUGAAAUCCUACAGCUUAACUGUAGAACUGCCUUUGAGACUGCUAAUCUUGAGUAUGGAAGAGAGAGAUGGAAUUCCAGGUGUAGUGGUGAAAUACGUAGAUAUCUGGAAGAACACCAGUGGCGAAGGCGAUCUCUUGUUCCUUUACUGACGCUAAGGCGCGAAAGCGUGGGGAGCAAAC